ACCUCGGAUCAGGUAGGAAUAC
rnacentral:rRNA from 1 species